CGGGGAAUAUUGGACAAUGGGCGAAAGCCUGAUCCAGCGACGCCGCGUGUCGGAAGGAGUCCUUCGGGAUGUAAACGACUUUUGGUGGAGACGAAUAAGCAGCUCAGGGAAUGGGGCUGUGAUGACGGUAUCCAUGGAAUAAGCCCCGGCUAACUACGUGCCAGCAGCCGCGGUAAGACGUAGGGGGCAAGCGUUACCCGGAAUUACUGGGCGUAAAGGGAGCGUGGGCGGGAGGUCAAGUCCGGUGUGAAAGACCCUGGCUCAACCAGGGAUGAGGGCUGGAAACUGACAAUCUUGAGUACAGCAGAGGAAGAGGGAAUUACCGGUGUAGGGGUGAAAUCCGCAGAGACCGGUAAGAAGGCCAGUGGCGAAGGCGCUUUUCUGGGCUGUUACUGACGCUGAGGCUCGAAAGCCAGGGGAGCAAACCG
rnacentral:rRNA from 1 species